CUUCAAAAAAUGGAGUUGGAGGUUCAUGGGAAGAAAUAGGCAUCUCUUUCCUCUUGUCCUGUGUUUUGUUUCCAAUCCAACAUCAAUCAAUUGGGAAUAUUUUCCUGAACUAGAAAAAAGAUGAAAUGUGGAAUUUUUUUUUUUCUUGUUCAUUACUCUCUUUUGAUGGAUGUUCUGAAACUUGGGGAUUAAAUUCUACAUGAGAAUCAUCAAUGGAGAUCCCUAGGAACUACUUGGGAUAUUUUAAUUGAAAUUAUACUGAGUCGGAUGCUUCUUUCUCGUCCCAUUUUCAUUGAAAUAAUUAGUUGGGUUAGAUGAUGUAAGAAUGAUGGAAUCUGAUUGGAAAUUUUCAAAUAGUGGC
rnacentral:misc_RNA from 1 species